GGCGAUGGUAGCAGAAUAGAGAGGAUAACUAUGGUUUCUCUACUUCAAAGGGGUAUGUCUAUGUCUGGGACGAACCACGUGAUAAGAGUACACCACAAAGGAUGCUUAUCCAUAGGCCGAUAAACCCUACCCAUCCUGCUAACGAGAGGUGGACUACAGGGGACCAACGUAACUGUCAUCUACGUGGCCUACCACACGAUCCAGCUAGUCAGGGGAUAUUGUCCCCUCAAGUGAACCUGGGCCGUCGGAUCAAACCGACAUUGAUUGAACGGUUAUUCUUGAUCCUUUAGGUCGGUGGAGCAUAAUCCGCGAGGUUGAACGUGAUUGGCCACUGUAGCAGGGCGGGCACCCUAAGGACUUGGGCGGGCGCCUAGGUCCUGGCUCCGUUCGGCCUCCGCUUCCUUCCCGUGGCUUCUGGAGUCUUCUAGAUGUAAAAUAAUUGCGCAGCACGUUGAUAUCUCUAUGUAAUCCCGACGUGUGGGACUUUCUUCCUUAUUUCCUGAUAACCCCCUGCAGAAAUAGACAAACACCAAAACUCGUGGAAUUCUGUCAGAUAAAACCCUAAGUCUAGAUGUUGAUUUCAUUUGGAUCCUUUUCUUUGUUUAUUUGAUAGUUAAAUUUGAUACUUAAGGACCGUCAACAAACUCCCCCAAGCUUACCUCUUGCUCGUCCCUGAGUAAGGAUAGACUCAGCUAUGGAUCAUAAGUUGUUGCAAUAUCUUUAAAAAUUGACGGUACACAUGCUUUUAAAUGAGGUCUCAUCUCUGAGUUAGAGUAAACUGUCAAGACUUAAAACUUACUUACUUUACCUUUCACCAUGGGACUUGUAACCGUCACUUCUGUCUUGAGUGGUUAAAAGGUAGAACAGUCCCGUCAAGUGCCAUGUCUCUUAUUCUUGAUCAGCUAUAGCUCUGGAGUUUUUGCAGAUUUUCAAAUAAAACUCAGAGAUUCCUUGUAUGACUCUCUAAAUCUCUCUUUUGCGGUAUUUCUAGAUCCUUACCAAGUUAGUGAUGGUAUAUGCCUUCUCUCAAGAUAUGUGGUAUUUGUGGUAUAAGGCAUAGUGACAUUGCCUUCUCUCUCACCCUACUCUAAUAAGGCUUUAAUAUCUGGAGCUUAUAGGUGGGAGAUAAAGUAUACAUACUUACAAGACAUUUAUUGUGUAGUCAAACCAUGGAUCCAAAGAAACAAAUCAAUAAGCCAAAUCAAGAUGUGCAUGUGUGGCGAAUGAAUGGUGUAUGGUGAUGAUGGUGAUAACAAUGGAGAAAGUCUAAUUCUACUUUUGCUCUUUUGAGGGGAUACAUACCUUCCUUGCUUUUUGAAACUUUAUGAGGAGAAUGAGAUGCUCUUCUUUUUCUUUCCUCUCAGGUGGGUAUCUUGUACCCCUAAUUCUACUGUCGGACACUUGUCCAUUUUUACCUCUCGUCUCACUUUUUCUUUCUUUCGAGGUUCCGGGCAUUUGCCCCUUUUUAUUUCCUCGUUUAUUAUUAUUUUUCUUUUCUUCUCUUUUCUUUUUUUUUCAGAGCACUCAUCUCCUGAAAUAAUGUAGCAAGUGGUAGUAACCAAAAUAACUGGAGCAUUUUUUUCACAGGGAAUAACAGGGAUAGGAAAAUGUUUUUAGCUAUUCUCUCCCGGAUUAGGAGUAGAAUAUUUUUGGGUGGUUCUCGAGAUGGACAUGGAUGGAUAUAUGUGGAUGGUACUUCCGGAGUAGAAGUAGCAUAUAUGAGUGAACGUGCAAGUGAAUCUUGAUUUAACCACAUGACAAGCUCCUAAGGGUCUACACAGCUUGACCACACUCAAUGCUCAUAAGCAGUAAAUAAAUGUGUGGCUCAAAGUCUAGCAAGCAUGUAUAUAUGGCUGUGGUAGGAAUUUAAACUUUCAUCAUACAGGAACUCAUCAUGCAAUAUUUUAAAGAUUUUUCAAAGAUAAAAUUCUCCUGAAUUCUAGCAUCUCUAGGAAUAGAUAAACAGCAGCUCAACCUUCCCAUAUCAUAUCCGUUAACAACUUAGAUUUCAGAUCAAGUUUUCAUCCCACAAGUUUAGAUCUAGAGCAAGCUUUAAAUUAUAACAGUUAUGUCUAAACUUGAGAGAGAACUUCAAAUUUACAAAUUAGGCAGCGCAACUAUUCAUCAUAUCCAUGCUAGAGUUUUAUUAUUAAGAUUCAGAUUAGCAUAGCCACUUUAUUUAUUUAUUAAACACACUAAGCAAAAGAUAUAUAUAUAUAAGCACAAAAUCUUCAUUUGGUUUUUCAUAGUUUAUGUAUUUUAAUAUUCUAAUAUAAAUAUAAAGAUAGGUAGAAAUACUUAGCGAGAUAAAUGGGGGUGCUCUCCCCCAAGCUGAAUUUUGACGUAAUUUCUCUUGAUGUAGCUAGCAGGUGGCAGAGGUGUAUUUGAAAGUUAGCAGCAUUCUGACAGCGAUGAGAAUGUCCUCCGUCUCCUAGUCUUCCUGAUUCUUAAAUUUUGUGGAGCUCAAAUAGACAACAAAGCUUGUGGAACUAAUUAAGUGUUAGCAUAAAUAUCUAGCCUUCAUCACGUUGAGCUUCCUCAAUAAAUAUUACUCCCUGUUUUUAUAUUUUUAUUUUAUAAAGGACAAAAGAAAUAUUUAUUUUAUUUUUAUGCCACCACAGUGAAGGGACUUAUGGGUUUUAUGCCACUCGUAUACUCACAUGGGGCUUAGUAUUUUUUAACAUUUUUAUUUUCUUUUCAAGAUAGCAUGAUUAACUAAUAAUCUAUUUAAGGAAAGUAAAUAAUUAAAUAAAAAAGGGAAUGCAGAAAGGAUAAAUAUGGAUAACUACCAAUCUUACCUUUCGGCGAGGGUUCAAUGUUUUAAGUCUUCUUGACAAGACUUCUCACCGUGUUCAUUCUUCACGUGGGUCAUUUGAUUCAGGUGCGGACCUUGACGUCUGCACCUUUUAAUACGGUGUCACCCAUGUUCUUCGUUUGCCCAGCAGUUCGAAGUGCGGUGUUAGUAGUAUCUUGCUCAGUGUGUUUGUGCUCGUAGUGUACCUGCUCAUAGAGACAAGGCAGAGAUCAAGUGCAUGGGCCCUGUUGGUGGAAAACACCAACAGAACCAAAAGUGUAUUUGUUCUUCUCUAACCUUAAGCAUAGUGAGCAAGACAAGUUGAUGGAUGAUAAGUUCAUGAGUGUAGCACUUAUAACAUUUGUCAGAUCAGAUCGCUCAACCUUAUGGGAAGACAAUCUAUCUAUGUAUAUGUCUUUUUCUUUAUAUCUCUCAAUGAUUGAAUGUGUAACAUUUUAGCUCAUAUGAUUAGGAGUGUGGGAUCAUGGAGCUAGUACUAAGAACAAGGAUUAAAGGACUAAACAUGUUGAAUCAGUUGGGUUGGUUAAUCUAGAGUUGUAAAUCAAACACGUUUGUCUCUUUUAUUUAUAUGAACACCAGAACCAAGGAGAAGCUUAUAAAAGUGAUAGUCAAGUACCUUAAGAUGUUACCUUGCUCGAAGAGUGAUGGUACAAUAUCAUAUUGUGGAAGCUUCCCUUUCUUAGCGGUUGUGCGUCAUGUUUGUGGCACCCUCCAUGGAUCAUCUCUCUAUGAUGAAUGAGCUAUGUCCUCUUGUGCAAAUUGUUAAACUUCAUGUGUCACUCUCUUCGUCUCUGAUGUGAGUUUAUCUCAGGACUUCCCAAAUCGAUAUUGAAAGUUUUUCUGCAGGGGUUAGUCCGACAAAAUAUACCAAUAUCUACUCAAGCAGUUUUUUUAGUUCAAUAACCAAACUAGACUCCAUGUCUAAUCAGAUUAAGGAAGGCUAUUUAACCUAAGCACCAUGCUUAAUUUAAAUGCCAAUGGAAGUAUGGCGAGUAC
rnacentral:lncRNA from 1 species